GCUCUUCAAGGCCUUAGAAGAAGCAACAACUCAUCAAGACAAGGCCAAGAAAGAGUCAGCUAUGGGACGUAAGGCGCAAACUCACUGUUUAUCAUCCUUUAUCUCCUCUUCCUCCUGAUUAGACUCUCCUUUUCUCCGAUGACGCUGAUGGUAACGGUGGUUCUGCUACUGAGGCUGCUUUGCCUUCUGCUUCUUCCUUCCAGGCAUCAAUUACCAGUGGGUAGUUGGCAAUUUGUUGUUUUAUCAUGUUGUUCGCUUCUAUUUGAGAUCUUGAGUUGGAUAUUUUCACUUUAUGUGCUUUUAGUUCUGUAUUUUUAUUGUUAAAACUUAAAAUUGAACUAUAGAUGUACCGAGGUGGAGCUUUUGUUUAUGCCCAUUAUCUGUUUGAUGAUAGAAUUGAGAGAGUCAACCGG
rnacentral:misc_RNA from 1 species